rnacentral:rRNA from 1 species
AUUGAACGCUGGCGGCAUGCCUUACACAUGCAAGUCGAACGGUAACAGGUUAAGCUGACGAGUGGCGAACGGGUGAGUAAUGUAUCGGAACGUGCCCAGUCGUGGGGGAUAACUGCUCGAAAGAGCAGCUAAUACCGCAUACGACCUGAGGGUGAAAGCGGGGGAUCGCAAGACCUCGCGCGAUUGGAGCGGCCGAUAUCAGAUUAGGUAGUUGGUGAGGUAAAGGCUCACCAAGCCGACGAUCUGUAGCUGGUCUGAGAGGACGACGAGCCACACUGGGACUGAGACACGGCCCAGACUCCUACGGGAGGCAGCAGUGGGGAAUUUUGGACAAUGGGCGCAAGCCUGAUCCAGCCAUGCCGCGUGCGGGAAGAAGGCCUUCGGGUUGUAAACCGCUUUUGUCAGGGAAGAAAAGGUUCUGGCUAAUACCUGGGACUCAUGACGGUACCUGAAGAAUAAGCACCGGCUAACUACGUG